rnacentral:rRNA from 1 species
UAAGGAAUAUUGGUCAAUGGACGCAAGUCUGAACCAGCCAUGCCGCGUGAAGGAUGAAGGUCCUCUGGAUUGUAAACUUCUUUUAUCUGGGACGAAAACGGGAUUUUUAUCUCAAUUGACGGUACCAGAGGAAUAAGCACCGGCUAACUCCGUGCCAGCAGCCGCGGUAAUACGGAGGGUGCGAGCGUUAUCCGGAUUUACUGGGUUUAAAGGGUGCGUAGGUGGGCUUAUAAGUCAGUGGUGAAAUCUCCGAGCUUAACUUGGAAACUGCCGUUGAUACUAUAGGUCUUGAAUUAUCUGGAGGUAAGCGGAAUAUGUCAUGUAGCGGUGAAAUGCUUAGAUAGGACAUAGAACACCAAUUGCGAAGGCAGCUUACUACAUAUAAAUUGACGCUGAGGCACGAAAGCGUGGGGAUCAAACA